CUGUGCCUGAUGAAGCUUGAGAUAGGAACAACAACAAGAGCCUCUGGGAUUUCCAAGCACAGAGUCUGCCAAGUUCCCGUGAAGGGCUGAGAUCUUCUGGUGGUCCUCAGCAGCAGUGUGCCUGCAGGGAGGUUCCUGUAUCUGCGCAUCACUUUGCGAAACGGUGCCGUCACAGGAAAAUGACAGACAAGACAAGCUAUGAGUGAGGAAUCCAGCCCCUAAAGGAGCAAUCUUGUCUAGCCUGGAGAAGCUUUCUGGGUAGAAGGCACCACCACAGGUCAGAUAAAUUUCUGUAGCAAUCACAAAAAGGCCAGCUGAGGUCAGGUCAUC
rnacentral:lncRNA from 1 species